AGACUCCCUUUGGGGUCGGCAGGCUCCGGAGCUGCUCGAACUGGAGACAAAACCAAAAGACAAAGUUGGAAAA
rfam:Myotis lucifugus cont2.5216, whole genome shotgun sequence.